GGCGAGGGGAGUGAAAAAGAACCUGAAACCGUGUACGUACAAGCAGUGGGAGCACAGGUUUACCUGUGUGACUGCGUACCUUUUGUAUAAUGGGUCAGCGACUUAUAUUCUGUAGCAAGGUUAACCGCAUAGGGGAGCCGGAGGGAAACCGAGUCUUAAUUGGGCGUUAAGUUGCAGGGUAUAGACCCGAAACCCGGUGAUCUAGCCAUGGGCAGGUUGAAGGUUGGGUAACACUAACUGGAGGACCGAACCGAC
rnacentral:rRNA from 2 species